rnacentral:rRNA from 1 species
UACGGAGGAUGCGAGCGUUAUCCGGAUUUAUUGGGUUUAAAGGGUGCGUAGGCGGGAUGCCAAGUCAGCGGUAAAAAUGCGGUGCUCAACGCCGUCGAGCCGUUGAAACUGGCGUUCUUGAGUGGGCGAGAAGUAUGCGGAAUGCGUUGUGUAGCGGUGAAAUGCAUAGAUAUCACGCAGAACUCCGAUUGCGAAGGCAGCAUACCGGCGCCCUACUGACGCUGAGGCACGAAAGCGUGGGUAUCGAACAGG